UACGUAGGGUGCAAGCGUUAAUCGGAUUCACUGGGCGUAAAGGGUGCGUAGGUGGUGAGGUAAGUCGGAUGUGAAAGCUCCAAGCUCAACUUGGAAAUGGCAUUGGAAACUACCUUGCUAGAGGGUUUGAGGGGGGACUGGAAUACUUGGUGUAGCAGUGAAAUGCGUAGAUAUCAAGUGGAACACCAGUGGCGAAGGCGAGUCCCUGGAAACUCCUGACACUGAGGCACGAAAGCUAGGGGAGCAAACAGG
rnacentral:rRNA from 1 species